rnacentral:lncRNA from 1 species
GGGAGCACACUUCAAAUCCAAGGACCCCGGGGAUUUAAGGGUUCCAAAGGAGACGCGGGCGAGCGAGGCCCACCAGGCUUUGACGGAGAUAAAGGAGAGAAGGGCGAGGACGGUCCUCCUGGAUAUAAGGUAAUAAAUCCUGAUGGUAACUGAGACACUUAGUGCUUGGAGAUGUCAUGAUGGAGCUCAUGAUAGACAAUUCAUUCAUGCUAAAUGAAUGGGAUUACAAACAUAUGGAUCAUGGAAGGCACUUUAAUUGUUUUUAAAGGGCCUAAAGGGCGAUGCAGGCACUAAAGGGGCAUUGGGCCGGUUUGGCGCUCGAGGACCAGUCGGCCAGAAGGGAGACCCAGGAGAGCCCGGACUCAAUGGAGUGAUGGGCCGAAACGGGGAUCAUGGAGUGGAUGGUGCCAAGGGGGACAAAGGAGAUGUUGGACUCGAAGGCCAGAAGGGCAAUCAGGUACGCUGGACAAAUCAACAUCUAACCCAUCAGGAUCCUUUACAUUUUUUGGAACAUUCAGAUGACAUUAUGGUUUUUGUUUUUGUCUUUCAUUUGUUUUGUUUGUUUUAUUUUUUUCCACAGGGUGAUCGCGGAGAAUCAGGUUUACCAGGAGACAAAGGGGAGAAGGGAGAGAAGGUGCAGGAAGUUAUUAUUUCAUGCAGUUGUCCCACCUUGUUCCCUCGUGCUUGUGACUAAGUACAAGAUUCCUUUUUUAUUUAAGAUUUCUGUUUGUGCGGUCACGUUUCAAAGUGUCACCUGCUGUUACAGGGUUUCAGAGGCUUAACUGGACACAUUGGGAGUCCAGGCCUGGAUGGAGAAAAGGUUAGGCCUCAAUUAUCUUCUUAACAGACCAAAAAGAGAACUGUCUAACAAUGUUAUACAAAGAAAGUAUAUGUAUAUGCAACCUGACGU